CAUUAGCCACCAUGCCUGGCCUAAUUUUUUUAUUCUAGUUUUUGAAGUUAAUUUUUCUUUUGAUGUAUAGAUGAUAUAUCUAUAGCAUCCUCUUUAGAUUUCUUAAGCCCUAAUAUAAGACCUAAUAUAAUAAAAUAAGAAUCUCUGUUUGGAUUUGUACCACAAAUUUAAUUGAAUAAACUGACUUUUCAAAACUGAUUUGGUAAUUAUGUAUUUAAAUCAACUAAAUGAAAAGCAAAGAGGAGAAAAGUUACUAAGCAAGUUGCAGAAUUUCUGAUUUUUCUUUCAUUUUAUUCUUCAUAUUUUACCACCUGACUUAGCUAAAUGAAGCCAGAUAUUGUCUGAGCUUUCAUUCUUAAGGCAUCAUGUUAUAAACAGAGUGACCUUAGACCUCAGUAUGUCUGCACAGUCCUGGUGUUAUCCUGUAAUUAUCAAUAGCUCCUUCUGUCACUCAUAAGUGUCCUGGCUUGGAUAACAAAGUCACGUUUACCUAUUAAAUAUGUGAUCAAAUGAAUAUUAGAAGAAAUGUUUGAGUAAUACAUACGGUUUUUAAUUUCUCUAAACCUACAUAGUACUACCUAAAAUAAUUGUGAUUUAGUGUUGAGAAAGGUCUUUGGUUCUUGAUUUAUAUAAUUCCUUUUUUAAACUUGGAAAUGAGACCAUUUUCUUGUUGCUCAGAUGAAGAAAUAAUCUCGAAUAACUGGUGUGAUCAUUCAAUUCUAAUAGCUUGAAAAGAAGAUGAUUUUUCUCAUGCCUUGAUAGAUGGUGAUAGAAUAUAUUGCUAAAUUGUCCUAGUGGCACUCUAUAAAACAGGUAAUGUCAUGGAGUAAAGUACAGGACUCAGCAUAAUGAUGAUGCCAUGUGUGCCUGUAAGCUUACAGGGACACAGAAGAUCAUGAUCAAGGGGGAUUCUUUAGUUCUCAAGUGUUGCAAAGAAUAUUUGAAACUCCCAGUCCUUGGCACAUAACUUACAGAAACAGUCAACAAAAUUAUGUGGGAAAUAUCCAGACUUGCCAUAUGGGGUGAAAGAUAAUACCCAACAUAAUAGUUUAUUAACUUGGCUUAAUUCCCACUUCUCUCCCAUUUGUCUUUUCCCAUGUCAGGAAACAGCAUAAAAAUAAGCCCAGUUGCUCAGGCCAAAAAUCUAGACAUGUUUCAUGUUCUCGUUUGCCCAUUACAUCCAUAAACAAAUGCUGCUACUUUAGUCCCGAAACCAUUCGGAAUCUACCUACUGCUUUUCAUCUCCAUUCUUACAAUCAUAACCCGAGCUACCUUCAUUCUUCUCUAUGGUUUUACAAUUGCCAUGUUACCUGCUCUGCCCUGCUUCUGCCCUGGCUGCCUCCUCCAUGAUUUAUUCUCAGUGUAGCACUCAAAAUGAUCUUUUAAGUAUGUAAAUCUGAUUACACAAUUCAAUAGCUUCCAUUACAUUUAAAACAAAACCCAAGCUUCUCACUGUGGCCUGUGAGUACUACAUGAUUAUACCCUUGUCUGCCCCAUCUCCUACCAUUUUUUCAUUUUUCACUGUGCUCCAUCUCCCAUUUUUGUUCAUUCAGCAUGCCAGGCUUGUUCUCGCUUGCUGUUGUCCCUGCAUGGGUGGCCUAGGACAAAUGAUUUUCUUCCCAAAUAUUUGUGAAAUCCAUUCACUUCUCACCACUUCUGUGCUCACAGUCCUAGUACAAGCUCCCAUCGUCACUCACCCAAACUUCCCUGCCUCACUCACCCACAACUUCCUAACUGGUCUCUGCGUGUUAAAUCGGCUAUCCAACCAGAGUGGUAUUUUGGUAAGUGCAUGUUUGAUUGUGUUGAGCCCUAGAACUAUAUUCUAGGAGCUGAACAUACUGCCCUGGCCUGAUAGAGUUUAUAUUUUAUUGGAGAAGCAGAUGCCAAGCACACACAAAAAAGAAUAAUUUCAGAUUCUGCUAAAUACUAUGAAGAAAAUAAGUCGAGACUCAGUGAUAGAGAAUAAUUGAGGCGAGAUCCAUUUUUAGAUUAGGGAGUCAGGGAAGUCUUUCCCCAAGGUGUAUCUAUGUGAAGAGCUGGGGAGAGGCAGGAAGGAGUUAGGAUUGGGGAAACAUAGUGAGUGAGAAAGAGCAUGUUAGAGAUGGGGCGCGCUCUCCCCGCAGCCCGCACUCCCUGACCCCGUGCCGCCGAGCGCCCCGCGGACUCAGCGGUGGGUGGCGCCGCCUUGGGCUCCUGCCUCCCCGGCUCCACGCUGCCACCACCUCGGCCCAUGGGCAGAGUCGGCAGGCGGGCAGGCAUUAAACUGAAGAAAAGAUGUCCCUGUACAAUGACUGGGGAGAGGAAACCAGUGACUCAAAAACAGAAGGCAGGUCCAAAAAACCCAAACUUCUGCAGUCAGCUUCAGGUGAAGAAGGCAGCUCUCACUCAAAGGCCAAAGGACGAAACAAAGUACAGUUCUUGCCCCAGUCAUUGACCUAAAACGAGGUGGCUCCUCAGAUGACCGGCAAAUUGUGGACACGCCACCGCAUGUACCAGCUGCGCCGAAGGAUCUUGUUCCCACUGGGUUUUCUGCAGGGGAAGUUCUGAUUCCCUUAGCUGACGAAUAUGAUCCCAUGUUUCCCAACGAUUGUGAGAAAGUAGUGAAACGCCAGAGAGGAAUGACAAAGACAGCGGGAGCUGGAAAGACAAAAGGAAAUAGAAGAAAGAGAAAAAAGGCAUAAACACAGACAUGAUGCAAGUGAGUUUUCAAGGAGAUCAGAUCCAGAUUGUGAUGAGGAUGAAGAUUAGGAGCGAGAGAGGAGGAAAACAAUUAUGGGCGGAGCUGCCAUUGCCCCACCCACUACUCUGGUAGAAAAAGACAGAGUUACCCCGAGAUUUUCCUUAUGAAGAGGACUCAAGACCUCGAUCACAGUCUUCCAGAACUGCCAGUCCUCCCCCAGUGUACGAGGAACAAGACAGACCGAGAUCUCCAACCCUGCCCAGCACAACUCCUUCCUCGCUAACUUGGAGGGGCACGGUGGCACACAAGAGCCUAAGGAAGUACAGCUUCCAGGAGGGCCAGGGUCUGGGGAAGCACGAGCAGGGGCUGAGCACCACCGUGUCAGUGGAGAAGACCAGCAAGCUGGGUGGCAAGAUCAUCCUGAGUGACGCCACAGAGAAAGAUGCAUCCAAAAAGUCAGAUUCAAAUCCCUGACUGAAAUAUGUAAGUGUCCUACUAAAGUGCGCCUACUAAGGAACAUGGUUGGUGCAGGAAAGGUGGAUGAAGACUUGGAAGUUGAAACCAGGGAAGAGUGUGAAAAAUAUGGCAAAGUCGGGAAAAGUGUGUUGUUUGAAAUUCUGGUGCCCUUGAUGAUGAAGCAGUACGGAUAUUUUUAGAAUACGAGAGAGUUAAAUCAGCAAUUCAAGCGGUUAUUGACUCGAAUGGGAGGUAUUUGGGUGGAUGGGUGGCAAAUACAUGUUUCUACAGUUUGGAAAAAUUCAGGGUCUUGGAUUUGGCAGAACAAGUUUGAUUUUAAGAACUAUUACACAAGUCAUCUCCAGUGAUCCUUAAAUGAACUACAAGCUGAGAAAAGAAGGAAAAAGGUCACAGCUUCCAUGGCUGUUGCAUACUGAGACUCUUGGAGGGACUUCUAAGAUAUAUGUUGAUUGAUCCCUUUUUUAUUUUGUGGUUUUUUUAAUAUAGUAUAAAAAUCCAUUUAAAAACCAAACAAAAAGAAAAUGUUAGAGACAAGGUUGGAGAGAUGGGAGGCAGUAUUAAGAGAUAAAGAGUAGUGGAUUUGGCACAUAAUCUGGAGGCAGAACUAACAGAGGUUGCUGAUGAUUGGUGAUGGAAAGGUAGAAAUUAAGGAUGAAACCUAGGUUUUUGCCUUGACCACCAAAUAAAUGGUAGUCUUAUAAACUGAGAUGGAGAAAAGUAGGGAAGGAGCAAGUUUAUUAGUGGAGAGAAAUCAAGUUUUUUUGACGGGGGUGGCUGGAGCAGGUUAAAUUGACUGUAUCUAGUAGACCACCAAGUGGCUGUAUCAAGCAGGUAGAAGAUUGUGAAUCUAGAACUCAAGGUCAGGGCUGUAGAUAUAAAAUGGAAAAAAUCACAGCAUAUAGAUAGAGAUUGAAGUCUAGGAACCGAAUAAAGUCACCUAUAGAGAAAAGAUAGAGAAGUGAAGAGGAGAGAGAUCAAGUCCUAUAGCACUUUUAAUAAGAUCAGGCAAUGUCCUUACCAAAAAUAUGUCGUCUCUCAGAAGAAGAAAUGAGAGACUGGGGGGAAAAAAUAAAGAAUUAAGUCAUGGGACAAAUGCUGCUCUGAAUACAAUAAGAAAAAGACAGGAACUGGCCUCAGGAUUUGUCAAAAUGAAAAUUGUUGAGAACUUAGACAUGACCGGAUUCAACAGAUUGGUGGAGAUAAAAACCUAAUAGGUUUAAAAAAAAACUGAGGAAGGGAAAAGAGUGGAUAUAGAUUUCACUCUCAAGGAACUUUGCUAUAAAGAGGAACAGAAAAAAGGCAGUUGACAGAGAAAAUUGAGGACAAGGGGCUAAAAAAAAUUGGUUUCAAGUUUGGAGUCAUGAUAGCAUAUUUUUUAUGUUAAUGGGUAUAACCAUGAAAAAGGAUAAAACUGAAGUCACAGGACAGUGAAAUCAUAAUUUCAGUAUCUAAAUCUUUGCGUUGGCAAGAUGGGUUGGAACUUGAAGUGGAGUGAUUAGUCCUAGAUCGGAGCAGGGAUAAUUCUAUUGUGAUCCUAGGGAAGGUGCAGCAUAUGGGCUCAUCAGGCUGUAGACUUGGUAUUGGGAAGGUGGAAUAAGAAGCCAGGCCAUCAGGUUAGAGAAUAUGAGAUAAAAAAUGGUUGUCAGGGGAAAGAGAAAGUUAAAAUACUAGGAAAAUAUAGUAAGAUUGGGCAGCAUUAAAUGCCUGCUUGAAAUUUAUCAUCAUAAAUGUAAUGUGAAAUCUGUCUCCAGUUAUGUGUUUUUCUCUAGUGGCACAAAGUAGCUGGAGAGUUGGGUGUAACUUUUGGGAUUUUGACAAGAUAAUACAACGGAGUAGCAAGGAGCAAAGGAAUAUGGGUAUGAUUAAAGUGAUAGAGCCUGGAAUCUGAGCCAGAUAAAGAAGGAUGUGAGCGUAUUGGGAGUGAGAGUGGUAUAGUAAAAAGUGGUAGGGUCGAUAAAUUGGAGGUCUGAAUGAGAUAUAAAAAUUUUAGAGGAAGGGAGCUAGAAUAAGUAGACUUUAAAAUUAGAAGAUGGUAGUUAGCAAAUCUGCACUUAAAAAUCAGAAUUUUAGAAUUAAUGUAGUUAUUGGUGAUGACAAGGCCAACCAGUGUUUCGGAAGCUUUUUAAAACGAAUGUAGUAAGUAAUAUAAUGUUCAAGAAGACAAGUCAAUUUGUACAAUAUGUACAUGAUAUGUAAUUGAAGAAAUUAUGAAACAAUAUUUACCUGACUUCAUUCAAUCAACUCUGAUAUUUAAAAAUCUAUUCUAUGUUACUUAAAAUGAAAAAUACUGGUUAUAACUCAUUAAAUUGAUUUUUAUUAUUACUAAUGGAUCAGACUUUGCAUUCUGAAAACAGCUCUAGUGAUCAUGGGAAUGAGUGACUGGUGUGGGGUGGAAGAAAGGAUUGUUGGUAUUAUAGAAUUCAGACACCUGAGAGUCCACAGUGUCAGAUGGAUUAUCUACCUAGAUGUAGAAGCCAUCAGGGAUGAUGACAGGAGUAAUGGCAUGGAGGAAGACAAUGAAAGUGGUGGUGUAGUCUGGUAGUGGUCUGUGCUUCUAAGAGACUGGAGAUUUUAAAGAGCUAGAGAAGACACAUUACCUCCAGGUCCUAGAAUGUGGGUGGGAAAUAAAAAGCAACUUUCAUUUUGAAGUACUCAGGAAAAGAUGCAGACUUAGAGUCCUGUCUUCACUGUGAGCAAAAAGGUGAAGAAAAAGUCAACAGAAAGAAUUGUGGACUUGGGGAGAUUUUGUUACUGAGAGAUUCUGAUUUCCAUAGGGUCCAGGGAAAGGCUUUGGGAGGUCAGAGAUGGGUUGGAGAUGGGUUUAAUGAAAACGACUUGGGAGACUUGGACUGAAAUUAAAUGUGGGCCUGGUCAGUUUUGAUGGUAACACAAGGAAAAGUGGGUAGUGGCCCAUAUUAGCCUUGUUCACAGGCUUGGUUUCUUAGCUAGUUUGUAGAGGUAAGAUGGUGGUGUGUGGGUUAAGGAAGAGCAGCCUCCCUGGGAGCAAGGUAGUUGCAGCAACUGCCCUUCAACUCUGAGUAGCCGACAUGGCACUAGGAGAGAGGAUUGGGACUGUGAGGGAAGGCCGCUGAGCCCCAUGAACUCACCAUGCAACAGGACCUUUGCACAUAUCUCAUCCUGUUCCUGGUAACUAACUAGCUGUUUAUCUUCUCUUUGAUUUCUGUACAAGUCUCAUAGCUUUAGGAAAACCUUCCCUGACUCCACUGGCCUCCCUUAUCCAGUUCUUAUGGCGCUUUGCACCUCAUCUUUAUCUCAUAUGUCACAGCUGCAGUUUUAUAUCUAUCUGUGGGAUUGUUUUAUUAAGUUUGACUCCUUUGCUAGACUAGGCUCUGUGCAAAAGGGACUAUACCUGUUUUUGUUCACUAUUGUAUCUCAAGCACAGUAUAUAAUGUGUAAUAGGUAUGCACAAAGAUAAAUUUAAUGAAUUAAUGAAAUCAGAGUUAGCAGACAUUAAAGACAAAAAAACGGCAAAGGAAACUAAAGAGAACCAACAGGAGGUACUAUUGAAGUUGAAGUUGCAAGGAACAUUUCUUGUUGCAACUAGUAAGGUCUACAGCUCAGUCCUCAUGGACAUGACCCAACUGAUCUUGAAAGGACAAUGCUACAAACCUACUGUCUGAAAGCAAAGAACUAUUUAAAGACUAUAUUAAUAGCAACAGUAAUCACCACAGGGAUAUGAGAUGGAAAUUUAGGGGAACAACAAGUCUAAGGCAGCUUCAAAGGCAACUCCUUCAAGAAUCUUGUCCUAACUAAGGAAAGAAUUGUUAUACUUCAAGGACUGAGGGAGUAGGAUAGAUCCAGGAGACAAGAGGUGCAUUUGGGUUGGGUAUGGAGUAGGAGGAGAAGGGGAUAGGAGUGGCAUUACAGCAUUUUCAAAGCAGGGAAACAACUGGCUAUAUACGGAGUCAAUUCAGGAACUAGGGCAUUUUGAGGAGUGCAGCGUGCCAAAGACAGUUCACUGAGAAAGGGCUGAGUUAGUCAAAGUUGGAGCAAACAACUGGACUGGCUGAGAUGUGAAGCUCUCUCCCUACUGAGUAGGACUUAGAGCCUAGAGGUUGGAAUGCCAAUGGUUUUAUGGUUACUGUGCCCCUUAUGCUAACAAGUGUCACCCAAGAUAAGUAAGACAAUGAUACAGAGUUAGCUAAUCUUGGACAAAAGUUCUAACAAAGUUGGAGAAUCACCACUAGGAAGAUUUCGUUCUGUUUCCAUUUUAAUUCUGCACCAGUCAGGGAUAUCAUUACAUUCCUUUCUCAUCCACCACCUCUGUGCGUUUACAGUGCAUCCUCUUCCUUUGUCUUGUUAAGACCUGCAUUUCAGAAGCAAUUUUUCCCCCUUGCCAGAUCAUCAUUCAGUAGCAGAAUAGGACACCCCUGAGCAAUCUCUGAGUUUCAUCUUUCCGUCACAAAGGAAUUCAGUGACUCACCCCUUGCAACUACACUAACUCUUACAGGCCAAGAGGGCACUGGUCAGCGUUUUGGAGGAAGUAAUUUACUAAAUGGUGCCCUUGUGGCCAGAAAGACUCAACACACAUAAAAGGAGAAACCACAGACUCCACUUCUUCUGCUCAGAGUGUUGGAAAUAAUUAGGAUUAAUUAUGUGUUUUUGUGUGGAAGUGAUGAUAUGAAUUUCAAUGGCAUACAGGAAAAAGAGAUAAGCCUAUUUUUUAAAGAAAAUAGUUCCGGUUUAGGUCCAUUAUAGCUGCACAAUGUCAUUAUGAGAUAUGAGAAAGAGAUAACUAAAUUAUUCAUAUUAUAAUUUUAUUUGUGCUCUAUUCCUUAUUUUUCCUGGAAAAUGUCCCUAUUUGUUAUUAAAACUAGCAUGUUUUAUAAAGAGAUUUAUGUUAAUUACACAGAAAGCUGCCUUAGUCAGAAGAGCAAAUUCUAUAGUGAAUUUCAGAGUUUUUAAAAUGUGUGAUCUCUAUGCUGUAGAAUAUUUCUUGCUAAUGGUUCAUGCCAUCUAUAUAUCUAGUGAUCUUUGAACCUUAUGUUCAUUAUUAUGGUUAUAGCUGUACCCAAAUGGCAGCAUAUUAUUAAAAUAUGAGAUAAUGAUUGAAUAAACUAGAUAUAAUUAUGCUUGUAAAGGAAAACAGACCAUCUAGGAGUAAGUUUUUAGAAGGCAAAAUAAUACCUUUAAAAUGUUAUACUCAAAAUAAACAUAUUACGACAGAUGAGAAAUCCCAGAUUUUCAGGCAAAGGGCGAGAAACUGAACUAAGUUUCAAAAGCCAUCUCAAAGAAGUUGCUCACUUUAAAAAAAAAAAGGACAUUUUUCUAAAAAGUAGCAAGUUUCCCAGCAUUUCUUUUCUUAAAAUAUGCAUUUUCUGUUAUUCAAAUGAAUAAAUAUAAAAUUAUUUUCAUUUUGGCACUUUCUAAAGUCCUGAUCCUACCAAUAGGUAAAAUCAUCACUAACUUUGCAGUAUUGACUUUUAGCUCUGUAGGCCUACUUCCGUGUCAUGAAGGCUAGCAGCUUGAAAAAAAUAAUGAAGACUUAUUCUAGUCACCAGUUGAACAAAUUCUGUUACCGUAUUAGUCCUGAACAUUUAGCAGGGGAAAUAAUAUCAAAUAUUCUCAUAUCAAGGUACAGAAAUAUCAGUCUCAUGGCAGACCCAGACUUGGAGGGCUAAUGUUAAGCUAGAUAUCUUGCAGACUAACCAAGAGUAGAUCACUGAUCUAUUGAACCUCUCUUUAGAAGGAAGAUAUAUUUAUUAUUGGUUAGGACCAGGUAGACAAUUUACAUUUGUGGUAUGUGGUUAAUGUAAUAAUAACUUAAUAACACUAUCAGGUGUCUGGAGCGUGUUUGCUUUGAGUACAACUAAAAAGAGUACAUUUUUAGCAUGGUAAUUUUUUUCCUAAAUUCUUUUCAUCAAAAAAAUUAUUUAUGAGAACGCUUUUAGAGAUUACAUGAGCAUUUAGAUAUUUGUAUUGAUAAUGUUUUUACGCUACUUCUCCUUUUCGGGCUCAGUUUUGAAAGCUCUCCUGAGAAAGGAGGAAAAAGCAUUUAUAUGAGGAAGCGAGAAGACUGAAAAUGAAUUAAGUGUUAGAGGAGUGGAGUGGCAGUGACUAAGGUCAGAAAAAAGCUAAGUGAGCAAAGAGAACUGAACAAAAUAGCAAAAGGAGAGAGCAGUGGUGUAUGAAAUAGGAAACAAAGAAGUGAGGACUAUCUCAGAAGAAAAGAAAAAUAAGACCCAGAAAAAACAUGUAUAUAUCUCAAGGUAUACUACCUCACAGUAUAAUUUCCAUUAAUCUCUAUCCACAUACCCUUCUACAUAUCUGUUUAGUCAUUCAUAGGCAGACAAGGCUGAACUACCACCUUAAGCCUAAAAUAUCACAUCAUCUUUUGUAGCUGAGAUGCUGGAAAUAAAUUCUGGAAAAUUGGGAGGAGGUGAGAACAUUAAGAGUUUAUAAGAAAAUUUAAGCCAUUUUUCUUCUAACUUAAUUUUUGUCUUCAUAAGAAUAUCUUAUCCAAAUGAGCAUAAAAUAUGAAAAAAAAGCCAAAAAGUAACAAAUAACAGGACUCCAUAAAGACAAGAGUGUGAUGCUAUGGAGUUUUGUCAUAACAUAAAAAUCUGUAGAAGGUGAGGAUGUUUGUAACUUUUGGUUUAUGUGACGCUUUUUUUUGUCAGCAUGUAUAAUCCCAAGUAAUUUAUUAUAAUAGAUAUUUAGAAGGUAACAUAAAUAAUUUAACCUGUCCCAUUCUCACGUAGUUUCUAAGGAUUCCCAACACAAGUCAAAUGUGUCUAAAAGAAACAAUAUCCACGGUGUAAGUUACUUACACACAGUAAGGGAAAUUGCUUACCUAGGCUCCAAAACCAUUAGCCAUCCCUUGUUGUAAUUUACCUGGAUUGCUAACCAAUGUUUAAUGUAUUUUUCCUACUUAUUGUUGAUUUUCAGCUUGUAGGCAUGUAGAUUUUUAUUUUAAAUCACUAUCAAAUUGUGAAACUUAACAAAAAAUGGCAGUGUGUGAUUUUUCUGUAAUGCUCCUGCAUUCACUUCUUUGAGUGUUAGUUUAAUUUUUGGCUAAUGGUUUUGGAGCCUAGGUAACGAACUUCCCUUAUUGUCUGUAAGUUACAUGGUGGAUAUUGUUUCUUUUAGACGUAUUUUACUUGUGUUGGAAGUUGUUAAUAUUAACUACAUGAGAAUGUGAUAGUUUUAAUUAUUUAUUUUUGCCGUCUAAAAUAUAUUAUAAUUAGUUACUUGGGAUUAUAUGUGCUGACAAAAAAAAAGUAUCACACAAACCAAAAGUGAUAAAAUCCUAACCUUCUAGCAACAAACAACUAAGACAUGCAUGCACAAAGGGCGGAUGCUUUAAGUGGCAGAGGGAGGGACGGAAGUGGGUAAUUAUUUGUAGCAAUGCUUUUACUGUUGUUUGAAAUGAGACAGACUAACAGUGGCAGCAGUCAUUUUGCUGAAUCAAAGUCCAUGUUAGUCGCAUUAUACACUGCCACAAAAGGUUGUUAAGGCUGGUAUUAGCAUGUACCACUGAGGACAUUGGAAGGACUCGAUCUGUCACACUAAAUCGCCUUCUUGCCCUCAACCAUUGAAGUCUCCAGCUCCUCUGACAUGUUCUUUCAUUAAUGGCCUGGCCUUGACAACUGAUCCUAAUUGCCUCUGAACCGCACUUCAUGUAUUAUUGGUGUCUGCCUGCCCUGGUUCAUGUCAACAAGCCACAACAUGUGCAGGGUGUGCCCAGUGCCUUUGCAGAAAUGAUGUUCACAUCGUCAUAUUCCUCUGAGGGGAUUGGGUCUCACUGGGAGUAAAGUAGAAAGCUAAAGAUCUUCCUGUCUCUUCUUUGUAAUAUCUUAAUGUUGAUUUGUGCUGUGUACAUAUUAAGCUCAUCUAAGGACUCACUAAAACAUUAAACCAAUUAUGCAACAUUCCAUUAAGGCACAGAUGCUGACUUAAAUUUGCCCUUGUUUUAGUAAGUGGCAAAAUGUGUGUUCAUUGCAAAACCUUUUCAACUUUAGUUAGUAUGGCUUACAUUCCUUUUUCAACUUUAGUGUGGUUUACUUUUACUUUUAUUAUGCAUAACAAUUUCAAUUUGAUGUAUGAUAAUGGCCAAAAGAGCCUACAAUAUAGUUUCCAGGUAGACGUACGCAUUAGACCAGAACUCCCAAAAGUAAAUUAUUGAAGGUUUGAAUAGGAUAUUUUAGUCUUAACAUCUAUUAGCAGAUUUAUAUUUACUACAUUUUCUAAAAGUAGCUAAAAUAAUCAAUUUUAGUGCAUUACAUGUAUUUAAAACCUUAAUUUUGUUCUGACAUUUCAGGAAACAUUCAUAAAGGACAAAACAGUUUAGAUGCAUUUUAAUUUAUAAGAUGAGUUAUUUGCUUACAACAAAAUACUUUAGAAUCUAAAAUAUAACAUUAGAAACGCUCAAGAUAUUUACCUCUUUUUCUGAAAAUGUCUCUGAGAUUUAAAAUUUGCCUCAUUCCUAUGACAGUUUUUUACAAUCACAUCUCUGAACAAUAAUACGAGAUUCUUUCAAUCUUUUCAUCCUUUUUUAUUUAUUGAAGGCAGUUUUCUGGUGAGCCUUUUAAGCAUGCAAGUUCUACCCGUGAUCAUAAAAAAUAAAUCACAGAAGCUCUUCGGUGCUAGGUAUCAUUUAGCCUAAUCUAGACAGUGACAUUUGGGCCACUAACAGCAUAAUCAUAGUUAUUGCUACAAAUUGCUCCAUGUUUGAGUUUUAAUGUUAUAAGUAAAUUAUGCCAGCGGAUAAAAUAUAUGUUUCUUUGGGAAUUAAACAUGUUUAUUUCAGCAAUGUGGCCAUGGAAUAGCACGGAAACCUUAAGCUUGUUUCAUGUAGUAAUACUGCCACCUUCUGAAGCCCAGAGGAAUUGUCCUCAAGGGUAGCUGUUUUAAGAGACUUCUCAGGUGGCCAUUUGUAGUGAUCCAGCAGCCAGAAACUUCCAAGUCUAGAAACCAUCUGACUUUUAUCAUGGGAAUGAUAAGUUUGAUUUUAACUCUUCAUUUAAAAUAAGUAGAAAUGAAUGCAGGUAUCCAACAGUCAGUAAAAAUUCUAUUUCCUCUUUUCAUUUUACCCCCAAAAGCCUUUUAUUUUCUGGACUUUAGAACUGUCUUUUUUUGGUGGUGUGUAGUUUCCUGCUAAAAAGCUCAGCUGAUAUAAAGCUAAUUCUGGUAUGGAAGUUACACAGCAAGAGCGGUUGCCUGGCAGAAGUGGGACAGUGGUGGCCACAGCUGGGAUUGUAAGAAGGAGAUGGCAAAUGUUUUUCUAUCAUUCAAUCAGACAGUAUGCCCUUCAGCAGAACAACAAGCCCUCCUGAUUCUUUAGAAUUAGUGAGAUUAGCAUGAACCACAUAAUGCAGGGUGAUGGGAUUUGUCAUAAUUUGCAUUGUCCUGGAAAAAUGCGGGUUGAUAGAGCGAUGCAUCUUGGAGCAUGUCAUGUCCCACGGGCAGGUCACAGAGGAAGCUUGGCAGAAAUAAUUUUGUGAUAUGUGCAUCAGUUGCAAAUGCUUCAUAAGUAAUUUGUCAGAAUAAAAUAAAUAGAAAGUGGUUAGGAAGGUAGAGAAAGUAGGGUCAUUGUAAAAGUAUCUCCAAAAAAAUUAGAUAUGUCAUCCUCAAAUAUCACAUUGUUAGUGAUUAAAUGAAAAUAUAAUGAAUGACUAGGCUUCCUCUCCUUUUGGUUUUAAAUUUCCAAAACCUUACUGUUAAGUCUUUCCUUUUUUCUAAAAGUAAAAUCUUUCCUAAAAGUAAAAUCUUACUGGUAAGUCUUUCCUUUUUCCUGAAGGUAAAAUCUUGGAAAAUGCAUGUGUGUUUCUGCAAAGUUUGUUUAUGAAAGCCCGUUAUAGAAAUCGUCAAAUACAGCUACAUUAGAGAAGGCUUUCUGAGAGUUUGCGUCGGACCUUGAUAAUGUUCCCAAACUACAGAUAGGAAAGGAUAAUCAGUAUGUAGUUGACAAAACGAACAUGACACUGUUACUUAUCUACAGCAGCAUUUCUGGAAAUGGGCAUAUAGAAUUCAGACAGGCAAGGGGAGCGUGCUUAUUUAGCAUAGCAUUGCAAGAAUGAAAGGUCCGGUGUCAGGUGUUGUCCAUGGUUUAUUUAUGUAGUACCUGACAGAGAUGCCACUGUCUUUAAUAUUUAGAAAUUUCUUCUAUCCAAGAACAUUAUAGCUAGUGUUUGCAGAUUAUGUUAUUUAUCAUUUCAGUAUCUGCUUCUACUGCACAAAGACAUUUUGCAAUGUCUCCUUUAUUUGUCUUUAUACAUUUCAAACAAAAGAUUAAUGCUGGCAGUUCGGUAACACUGAUCUUUUAUGACAGUUGAACAUUUGUGGGUUGAGGGUCUAAUAAGAAAAAAAAUUUAAGUGAGGAGUUUAAGGAAAAUGAAAAAAAUAAUCACUUGUGAAAAUCAGGCUUAUAAUAAAAAUGUAUCUUCUUACUACACUGUUCGUAGGAAGAAUACUCAUUUUCUCAGAUGGUUAUAAUUGUAGAAUUAGGUUUUAUGAAAACUAAAAUUACCCUAGGGCACAGCUCAACAUGAAUAAAUCUUUCAACACCCAGAUCUGGAAACAUGAUACACACGAAACUAAUAAUGCCCUAUAAUUACAAGUAGAUCAAGAAGAACUGUGCGAAGUUUUUAAAAAACAUUAUUUAUUGAGUUCUGUAAGAUGAAAGUGACUCCAAAUAAUGUUAGUUCAGACUAUUUUAAAUCAUUUGUUGUUUGUAAAAUAAUAGCCCUCUAUGUAAACCUCAUAUGUUUUUAAACUCGCCCUCCUGUCUGUAAUCUUCAAAACUGACUGCUUUCAAACAAACAGUUUUACUAAUCAGAGAUAAUAAGUGCUUUGUGGUGCCAAUUGUUAAAAACUAGAUUUUUUGUGGACAUUAUUUUUCUAAUAUAUCAUCUCUGGACUCAUAAGGUGAUUUUUAAAAAAUAAACCCUGUUUACUGAGUUGUAACAUUUCAGCCCAAUUUCAGCAUUGUGGAUAUUCUGUACAAUAUUUAUUUCACUGAGAGUUGGUACUGUAGACUUCAAUCUUGGGUCACAUUUUAACAACUUUUUUCUAUUGUCUUCUUUUUGCUGUAUACUACUGCGUCAAAAAAAAAAAAGACACCUGUUGCUUCUCCCGUGAAAUUCCUUUCCUCAGAGGAAAUGUGCUUGCAGUGACAGAUAAUUUGCCUUGGUUAGAAGUUUUCUAGCAUUUUCCCCUAAAUAGCAAAGCCAUAAUACUCUCAGAUAAUCUUCAAGGGAGAACAAAAAUACCUCUUCAUUCUCUUAGCAGAAAAUUAUGAUAAAUAAUUUUAAAAAUAAAAACUUUUUCAAAUAAGUGUACAUCUCGCCAGUCCUCUCCCCAAAAUUUUAAUAAACUAAGGAUUUAAAUUCCACCUUUUCAGACAAAGUUUUCUAAAUUCAAUCAACAGGAUAAUGUACUGGAUAGAUCAAUUUUUAUAUUGUCUUUAGACUUUACAAUUGUUUUACUCUAGAUAAUGACCACUAACCUAGCAAUGCUAGUUUAACUCUCAAUGUCUUACGAACUAUUUAUUGAGUCAUUUGUUCAUCUAGUCAGUAUAUGCGCCUACUGCUUAUGGUGCCUAUUCUGUGUCCUUUGAAGGAUGCUGUGCAAGAGUUUUUUUCCCAUAGGGAUGGAGAGUGAAGUGAGUAGAGAAGGCCCGAUCAACAAUUUAAUCAAGAGGUAUUCAUUGGGCAAAGCACCUCAUCCAGAGUUAAUGGCAUUGCCACUCUGCGAAUGAGUCUCAGAAAAUGAAGAGGUAGCUAAAGGAAUUAGCUUAUUAAUGUGCUAUCAUGACAUCUGGACUGGAUCCAGUUCUUGGUGUUUGUCUGGAAAAUUCAUUGCUGCUACAGUAUUGUAAUACCUGGCAAUUCUCAUAUUAAUGGAAGGGUAACUAGUUUGUUUAUUUUAGUCUACCUAGUCUGUGAUGAAACUCAAAUAUUUAUUUGACAAUAAAGUGAUGUUUUUUACCCAGGACAGGUGAAUUCAUGAAACAAACUAUAUUUGUCUUCCAUUCUGCUUUCACUAGCUUGUCUUUAAUAAAUUCAUUGCCUCACAGAUUAUUAAUACCAUUUGAAUGAUUUUUCUAUUUUGCCCCAGCUUCAAUAGCUGCCUGUAUGAACUCUUAUUAUCAUUUCAGAGUUAUUUCUUUAGGGUUCUUUAUAGUGAACAAAUAGUCUCAGGUAAAAAAAAAAAAAAAAAAAAA